rnacentral:lncRNA from 1 species
AAAAAUGAUUAAGUUAUAAUGAUAACUAAGUUAUAGCCUCCCAUUAAGUGAGUGAUAAUGAGUCCAUUAGUUUAAUAAUCACUGGAGGCCCAAAGGCCUGGUGCUUAUUGACUAAUGGAAUUAUCAUUCAUAAUAUGAUCAUUUGGUUGAGUCUUUCUGAUGGUGGUCAGGUUGGCCGCCCAAAGUCGGGCCUGAUCAAUUAUUGGUCUGAUUCAUCAAACCAAGUCAUGUUAAUGGUUGGACCUAACC